ACGAACGCUGGCGGCGUGCUUAACACAUGCAAGUCGAACGGUGACGACGGGGCUUGCCCUGUCUGAUCAGUGGCGAACGGGUGAGUAACACGUGAGUAACCUGCCCCAGACUCUGGGAUAACCCCGGGAAACCGGAGCUAAUACCGGAUAUGACCCUCGCAUGCAUGUGCAGGGGGUGGAAAGUUUUUCGGUCUGGGAUGGACUCGCGGCCUAUCAGCUUGUUGGUGAGGUAGUGGCUCACCAAGGCGACGACGGGUAGCCGGCCUGAGAGGGCGACCGGCCACACUGGGACUGAGACACGGCCCAGACUCCUACGGGAGGCAGCAGUGGGGAAUAUUGCACAAUGGGCGGAAGCCUGAUGCAGCGACGCCGCGUGAGGGAUGACGGCCUUCGGGUUGUAAACCUCUUUCAGCAGGGAAGAAGCGAAAGCGACGGUACCUGCAGAAGAAGCACCGGCUAACUACGU
rnacentral:rRNA from 1 species